rnacentral:rRNA from 1 species
CGGGACGGGUGAGUAACGCGUGGGUAACCUGCCUCAUACAGGGGGAUAACGAUUGGAAACGAUUGCUAAUACCGCAUAAGCGCACAGUACCACAUGGUACAGUGUGAAAAACUCCGGUGGUAUGAGAUGGACCCGCGUCUGAUUAGCUAGUUGGUGAGGUAACGGCCCACCAAGGCAACGAUCAGUAGCCGACCUGAGAGGGUGACCGGCCACAUUGGGACUGAGACACGGCCCAG